AGCGAAAGGUGCUUGCACCUUUCAAGUGAGUGGCGAACGGGUGAGUAACACGUGGACAACCUGCCUCAAGGCUGGGGAUAACAUUUGGAAACAGAUGCUAAUACCGAAUAAAACUCAGUGUCGCAUGACACAAAGUUAAAAGGCGCUUUGGCGUCACCUAGAGAUGGAUCCGCGGUGCAUUAGUUAGUUGGUGGGGUAAAGGCCUACCAAGACAAUGAUGCAUAGCCGAGUUGAGAGACUGAUCGGCCACAUUGGGACUGAGACACGGCCCAAACUCCUACGGGAGGCUGCAGUAGGGAAUCUUCCACAAUGGGCGAAAGCCUGAUGGAGCAACGCCGCGUGUGUGAUGAAGGCUUUCGGGUCGUAAAGCACUGUUGUAUGGGAAGAACAGCUAGAAUAGGGAAUGAUUUUAGUUUGACGGUACCAUACCAGAAAGGGACGGCUAAAUACGUGCCAGCAGCCGCGGUAAUACGUAUGUCCCGAGCGUUAUCCGGAUUUAUUGGGCGUAAAGCGAGCGCAGACGGUUGAUUAAGUCUGAUGUGAAAGCCCGGAGCUCAACUCCGGAAUGGCAUUGGAAACUGGUUAACUUGAGUGCAGUAGAGGUAAGUGGAACUCCAUGUGUAGCGGUGGAAUGCGUAGAUAUAUGGAAGAACACCAGUGGCGAAGGCGGCUUACUGGACUGUAACUGACGUUGAGGCUCGAAAGUGUGGGUAGCAAACAGGAUUAGAUACCCUGGUAGUCCACACCGUAAACGAUGAACACUAGGUGUUAGGAGGUUUCCGCCUCUUAGUGCCGAAGCUAACGCAUUAAGUGUUCCGCCUGGGGAGUACGACC
rnacentral:rRNA from 1 species